GAUGAACGCUGGCGGCGUGCCUAAUACAUGCCAGUCGAGCGAACGGACGAGAAGCUUGCUUCUCUGAUGUUAGCGGCGGACGGGUGAGUAACACGUGGAUAACCUACCUAUAAGACUGGGAUAACUUCGGGAAACCGUAGCUAAUACCGGAUAAUAUUUUGAACCGCAUGGUUCAAAAGUGAAAGACGGUCUUGCUGUCACUUAUAGAUGGAUCCGCGCUGCAUUAGCUAGUUGGUAAGGUAACGGCUCACCAAGGCAACGAUGCAUAGCCGACCUGAGAGGGUGAUCGGCCACACUGGAACUGAGACACGGUCUAGACUCCUACGGGAGGCAGCAGUAGGGAAUCUUCCGCAAUGGGCGAAAGCCUGACGGAGCAACGACGCGUGAGUGAUGAAGGUCUUCGGAUCGUAAAACUCUGUUAUUAGGGAAGAACAUAUGUGUAAGUAACUGUGCACAUCUUGACGGUACCUAAUCAGAAAGCCACGGCUAACUACGUG
rnacentral:rRNA from 1 species